CCUACGGGUGACAGCAGUGAGGAAUAUUGGUCAAUGGACGCGAGUCUGAACCAGCCAAGUAGCGUGAAGGAUGACUGCCCUAUGGGUUGUAAACUUCUUUUAUAUGGGAAUAAAAUGUUCCACGUGUGGGAUUUUGUAUGUACCAUAUGAAUAAGGAUCGGCUAACUCCGUGCCAGCAGCCGCGGUAAUACGGAGGAUCCGAGCGUUAUCCGGAUUUAUUGGGUUUAAAGGGAGCGUAGGUGGAUUGUUAAGUCAGUUGUGAAAGUUUGCGGCUCAACCGUAAAAUUGCAGUUGAAACUGGCAGUCUUGAGUACAGUAGAGGUGGGCGGAAUUCGUGGUGUAGCGGUGAAAUGCUUAGAUAUCACGAAGAACUCCGAUUGCGAAGGCAGUUCACUGGACUGCAACUGACACUGAGGCUCGAAAGUGUGGGUAUCAAACAGGAUUAGAUACCCCUGUAGUC
rnacentral:rRNA from 1 species